AUGAACCUCUCGCCCGCCUCCCCCGGCGGCAGCGGCUUGGCCAGCGGGAAGGGCUUGCGGCCCAGUAGCGGCGCCAUGACGGGAAGCGAAGCGGCCCCGGCUGGGCCUGGCGGCUCCCCACAGCAACCCCGGCAGCGGGGUCUAGGUGCAGUGGAUGGGGCCUUAAGGACCUGAGUUCUAGUCCAUGGCCUGCUGGAUGCCUGCAGGUGAGAUCCAGGUGGACAGAGGAUCUGGGAAAAAAAUGAAAAUACAUACGUCAGGCUAGGAGAUAGCAGCAGCAGUGUGUUCUAGGUAACAUGCAUAGAAUGCUACAACAUAUGGUUGUUCAUGGCCUGAGUAACACCUCUGUAGAUUACACUAUUAAUGAAAAACAAACCACAGAUUUACAGGCAAGUUAGCUGCCUAGU